AUUGAACGCUGGCGGCAGGCUUAACACAUGCAAGUCGAGCGAGCGGCGGACGGGUGAGUAAUGUCUGGGAAACUGCCUGAUGGAGGGGGAUAACUACUGGCAACGGUAGCUAAUACCGCAUACCAUCAGAUGUUCCCAGAUGGGAUUAGCUAGUGGGUGGGGUAAUGGCUAACCUAGGCGACGAUCCCUAGCUGGUCUGAGAGGAUGACCAGCAACAUGGGAACGGGGACACGGUCCAGACUCCUACGGGAGGAAGCAGGGGGGAAUAUUGCACAAGGGGCGCAAGCCGGAUGCAGCCAUGCCGCGGGGGUGAAGAAGGCCUUCGGGUUUGAAAGUACUUUCAGCGAGGAGGCGUUACUCGCAGAAGAAGCACCGGCUAACUCCGUGCCAGCAGCCGCGGUAAUAC
rnacentral:rRNA from 1 species